rnacentral:hammerhead_ribozyme from 1 species
AUUCAGCUGAUGAGUCCCAAAUAAGACGAAACGCACACCCUGAAU